UUUUUGUUAAUAAUUUAAAGUCUAACCUGCCCACUGAGAAUUAUUAAAGGGCCGCGGUAUUUUGACUGUGCAAAGGUAGCAUAAUCAUUUGUCUCUUAAUUAGAGGCUGGAAUGAAUGGUUGAAUGAAAUAUUAACUGUCUCAAUUUUAAAAUAUUAAAAAUUUAGCUUUUAAGUUAAAAGGCUUAAAUAUAUUUAAAGGACGAGAAGACCCUAUAGAUCUUUAUAAUUUAAUUAUUUUAUAAUAUAGAUAAAUAAUUAUUAAAAUAAUAAAAAUUAUUUUAUUGGGGUGAUAGGAAAAUUUAAUUAACUUUUUUUAAAAAUAAACAUUGAUUUAUGAAAAAUUGAUCCAAUAUUAUUGAUUAUAAGAUUAAGUUACCUUAGGGAUAACAGCGUAAUUUUUUUAAAGAGUUCAUAUCGAUAAAAAAGAUUGCGACCUCGAUGUUGAAUUAAAGUAAUUUCUAGAUGUAGCAGUUUAGAUAUUAGGUCUGUUCGACCUUUAAAUC
rnacentral:rRNA from 1 species